GUUCAAAUACGAAUGAGUCUCAUGACACAAGUAGUAGUGAAGCAUGUACAAGUGCCUCUUACAGCUGCUUAGUAUGUAUUAUUGUAAGUUUAUUCCGUUCAAGAGAAGAAUAUUAUUUGGAUAAGUGUACGCGAUACUCACUUAGCGUAAUACGUAUUGCGGAGCUGUAGACAAUAAGAGGAGCAAUUAAUAAAUAUUUCAUAAAUAUCUCUUGACAUUUCGAAGAUUAUUGUCCCCCGGCGGGGACAUCUCAAGGGUUCGUGAAAAGACUUCGACACAAUAAAAAGUAACGAGGGUAAUAUUCGUCGCAAGGAGCAGGAGAAUUCUUGUCAUGGUAAGAGAAGAAUGAGGCCAUAUUUGUCUGACGAGGAAUGCCCUUCGAGAAAAAGGAAAUGUCAGGUCCCGUCUAUACGAUACUUUCAGCAGAAAUACGUGAAAUUCGUCUUAUUUUGUUUGGUAGAUGCCCUUCGCUUUUACCUUAAUUUGAGAUCUUUCUUCCGCAAUUUUAAUUCACUCAGGACAUUAUCUAAAUUUGUCAAAUUAAUACGAGUAUUAUUGUAAUAACAAACGAGAAACCCUCGGUAACUUGAAAAGUUCGAAUCCAUUGAAAUUUACAGAGAAUUCUGGAGUAAGAUCAUUGAGAAAUGUUUAAUUAAUUUUUCGUUUUUAGAGACAAAACAUUGCUUUCACUUGUAUUAAGCAUGAUGCAUUUAAUGAUGGACGCGUAAAUAAUGUAAUAAUACAUACUAUUAAAUAGUCUAUGCAUAAUUACUAUAGUUAUAAAAAUAAAUAACAUGUAAAUAAUAAAUGAGAUAGUUAUGACGAAUA